UAGGGAAUCUUCCACAAUGGGCGCAAGCCUGAUGGAGCAACACCGCGUGAGUGAAGAAGGGUUUCGGCUCGUAAAGCCCUGUUGUUAAAGAAGAACACGUAUGAGAGUAACUGUUCAUACGUUGACGGUAUUUAACCAGAAAGUCACGGCUAACUACGUGCGAG
rnacentral:rRNA from 1 species